rnacentral:rRNA from 1 species
CCUACGGGAGGCAGCAGUGAGGAAUAUUGGACAAUGGAGGCAACUCUGAUCCAGCCAUGCCGCGUGCAGGAUGACUGCCCUAUGGGUUGUAAACUGCUUUUAUAUAGGAAGAAACCUUUCCAUGCGUGGGAAUUUGACGGUACUAUAUGAAUAAGCACCGGCUAACUCCGUGCCAGCAGCCGCGGUAAUA